rnacentral:lncRNA from 1 species
GAUUAAUUUCUCAUUUACAAAUAAAAAUGUAAGUUUAGAACAGAAUGUUUUAACAAGGUAAAAGCAUUCACUGCAUACUAUAUGCCAGCACUAUACUUAGGACAUAUAGGACAUAUACGACUGUAUAUGUGAGCGCUUAUCUCACUUCUCUUGUAGAAUGGUUAUUAUUAAACUUAUUUGAGAGGUGAAGUGAUUGACAGCCGUUGAAGGAUUACUUGAGACCAUGGAAACUAUAACUUGCAGAGUCAGAAUUUGAGUUCAAUUCUGACAUCAAAGCUAUGCUUUUCCUACUGUGUCAACCUGCAUAAUAAAACUACACUUCUGAGACGAGGUAAUCAUAGCCUCCUGGUAUCGCACAUCCAUGGGAAUACUGAAUUUAUUUGGACUAGAAACUAACACCUGCUGGAAUGUCACCAGAAUAGAACCUCUUAAUGAAGUUCAAAGCUGUGAAGGAUGUCAUGCCCAGAGCUGUAGCGGUCAUCUUGUGACCAUAAGGGAAAGGCCAUAAAAAUAGCAGAUAUAUCUGGCCUACCAUCCUUCUGCUGCUGAACCAAUGCCAACAGUGGGACUCAACUAGGAGGUCUUAUUACAGUACUGUGCUGCUUUUUCAACCAUGGAGAGGUCACUCGUGUGAUGUGGACACCACCUCUCCGUGAAAGUUUUUCCUAUCCAUUUCUUGUACUUCAGAUGUAUAUUUUAACUUUGAUUCUCAGGUAACUUCGAUUUAUAAAACAAAGGCAAAUAAAUUAUAAUUUUAGUGUCUU